GCUACGUGAGAAGUAAGACUACCAUCCCGAGUGUUCUAUAUGCCGGGGUGGGGUCUUGCUUCUUCCAUAGCG
rnacentral:pre_miRNA from 1 species